UUCAACAUCCUCCAGGCAGCAGAUCAGUAACAUCUUCCCGGUCCCUCCCAGAGCCUGCAAGCAUCACACCAAGUUGCAGAGACCUAAGAGGCCCCGGCCGGGGAAGGGAGACCUGCUGCCCACACUCCUCAGCGGGGAGGCCUGACACAGAAUGGCACCUGAGGUCAGCAAUGAGGUCAGCCACAGCGAAGACGUUAUUGAACUUCAGAGUAGAGAAG
rnacentral:lncRNA from 12 species